rnacentral:rRNA from 1 species
GGGUUGUGAGGUUAAGCGACUAAGCGUACACGGUGGAUGCCCUGGCAGUCAGAGGCGAUGAAGGACGUGCUAAUCUGCGAUAAGCGCCGGUAAGGUGAUAUGAACCGUUAUAACCGGCGAUUUCCGAAUGGGGAAACCCAGUGUGACUCGUCACACUAUCAUUAACUGAAUCCAUAGGUUAAUGAGGCGAACCGGGGGAACUGAAACAUCUAAGUACCCCGAGGAAAAGAAAUCAACCGAGAUUCCCCCAGUAGCGGCGAGCGAACGGGGAGGAGCCCAGAGCCUGAAUCAGCAUGUGUGUUAGUGGAAGCGUCUGGAAAGGCGCGCGAUACAGGGUGACAGCCCCGUACACAAAAGCGCAUGUGCUGUGAGCUCGAUGAGUAGGGCGGGACACGUGGUAUCCUGUCUGAAUAUGGGGGGACCAUCCUCCAAGGCUAAAUACUCCUGACUGACCGAUAGUGAACCAGUACCGUGAGGGAAAGGCGAAAAGAACCCCGGCGAGGGGAGUGAAAAAGAACCUGAAACCGUGUA